GCCUUCCUCGUGGUAUCGUCCAAACUGUUGCGCAUAUUAUUCACCGAAGGGGAGUUACCCUCGAACGUAUAUCGAUUCCCAUGGGGCUGAACUCAGUGCGCAAGGCUCGAAAUUCCCACCCUCGUGAGGAAAAUGUUGGUUAUUGAUGGAGCAUGAGGAAACGAGAAGUUCAAUCAUUUUUCAAUUAAGCUGUCAAUAAUUUGGAGAAGGAACUUUUUGUGUAAGACAACUGAAGAAUGGUCUUCGUACGAGGUUAAAUUUAAAGAGCGAUCAAGCGAUCUCGAAGAAUACGGUUGAUCAACAAAGGGAGCGCCGUCGAUGCUUCGCUGUCGGUGGCGUCGGCAUUUAUAAAAGUAAUAAAACAAUCGAACAACGACUCUACGAAGUGAGUGCGAUCAGAGUGAGACGGAGGAGUAAGAGUAAGAGGAGACGAUAAAAAAUAACAAGUUUCAGAAAGGACACGAAAGAAAGAAAAAGAGCGAGAGAGAGAGAGAGAGAGAGAGAGGGAGAAGGAGAAAGCUCAAGAGUUCGCGAUCGGAGGUGAAAAUAUUGAGAGAAGCCAUGGGCGGGAGCAAAGGAACGUGAAAAAGAGAUAAAAAACCUCGCGGAUAAGAAAAUAAUAAUAAAAAAAUGGAGAGAAAAUAAAAAGGGAUAGGAAUGAAACACACGAGAACAGCGACCCGACCCGACCGACCGGUAGCUCAGCCAAGCGGACCACGUGUAUAUAUCUUGCUCCGAUUCACCACGCACACUGUGCCCGAUUCCUCCUCGUGGUUCUCAAAGACAAACAACACCCUUUUCGCUUCCUUUCGACUUCGACUCGAGCCUUUGUUUUCAUUGAACUUGAAAAUUGAGCUUUUAAUCACACUUUAUAAAAUUGUCUGCAACUAUUGGGUUUUCGCACUAAAAGUCAAAGUAUUGAUAGUCAUGAUUGGAACAUGGAGAUCCUGAAAUUUUAUCCAAAAUUAACAAAAAGCGUAAAUACCAAUUUUUUUCGUGCACUUUUAUCGAUCGGAAAAAAACGAAAUCAAUUCUUUUAGUACUUUAGUAUUUUCUUUUUUCGUCAUGCCUGGGCCUCUCAAAAUCCAAAUUUCUAUCAAGUUUUCUUUUCGUGGUUUUAAUCGAUAAUUAAGCUUCUUUUUCUAUGAAAACGGAAACGCGUUUGCCACAAAAGUUUUAAUUUUCUCGUCGAUCUAAUCCGACUAUUGCUAGAUUUCUAUUAAUAACUCUAUCGAAGGACACAAAAUUGAAAGUUUCAUUAAUAAUUAUAAUUCGAUGAAGUCAUAAUGAGCUGUGAAUCUGAACGAUAAUGUUUCGAAGGUGAUGGUGAAUUCGUAAGAAAAUGGUCGACAGGUUGAGAGCCAGGGUAUGUAGAGCAGAUGCUCGGGCAUGGCGAGUGCUAUAGCGGGGGGUGCGUGAUUUUUCAUCGCCGACAGCCUCCUCCUUUCGAGACCCCGGAGCAUUCCACCUUCAGCUCUGCAUACUGCAUUUGCCGCCUUCUCUUUCUUCCUAUCUCUUCUUCGACCUCUCGUCUUUCAUUCUUACUUCGUAUUCAUUUGGUCGUCGUGUACUUAAAAUUACUUUUACGAUGUAUAGACUUUAAUCUUUUUUUCAGUCAGUUUUUCAGAUUUUUUUCUCUCCAUCUUAUUCACGACACACAUGCAACGCUACAGAGCUGCGGUCAACUUUCAUGCUUCGAUGACGAAAAAUGUGCUGAAUUCUUCAAUUACGCGACCACGGACGUUCUCCGCGCGAAAACUCCAGUCCGCUGUUUCGGCUUGGCUCUUGCACCGAAAACAAAAUUCGGUAGCAGGACAAAAUUUUCCAAGUGAAAAUGAAAAUUUCAACUGAAACAAUGAGCUCCGAUAUGCACUCAAAGUACAUGCGAUGUGACAAAUCAGAAGCUCGGAGUUAAUGAGAGGAUGUAAGGAGCACUUGGCAACUCUGCGAAGAGAAUACUUCGCGAAGCGAAGAGCUGAAACACUCGUCGUGGAAACGGAAACACCGACGGAAAAUGACGAUAGGGAAUUCCGGAAGAAAUAUUCGUCGGCGCAUUCACGGAAGUUCCCGCCAAGUUCAUAUUGCUCUUGACGGACAAGGAGCAACGAGAUAAUAUGGACGAAGCUCAGAAAAAUUCUUCGAAAUCGGACGAAAAGGGGAAUCUCGUUUGCUCGAUUUUUCUGGAGCACAGGUAUGCGCUUCGUAUCUUCAGCAAACGAACUUAAUGCUAUGCUCGUAGGAUUCUAUAUUCGAAGUCGGCUCCUGUGGGCGCGGGUGCAUUGGGCGCGCACGUGCGCUCAAUUUUCUCGCGGUUUGCCGAUCGAUCUUCGCGAUAGCGAUGAAAGUAGUUCGCCCCUCCGCACUCGUCGCUGCACCGUUACGAUGUACGCCAAGUACACAAGACUUCCGUGUUUAGUUAGUUCUUCGGAUGUUGCCAAGGCCUUUUCGCAGCAAUGAAGUCCGCGAAUAUUGCAGUACGUACCUGCUUCACCCGAUCGGGUUUUUAUGCCCAACUUGACUGUGGGAGUUACAGGUUCGAUUGCUGAAAACCAACAGACUUUAAGAAAAUCCAACGAUCUCUGAUGUCCCCGCUGAGGUCGCUUUCUACGAGUAUUUUUCUGAUGUUGAGGAAGUAGGAAUUUAAAGAACUGUUCUCGAAUUUCGAGCGGAACACUUUCUUUUUGAUAAAGAAAUGAAAUGUUCAAACGAAACGCAGAGACGUCGGUAGAGCAAACUCCACGAAAAUCGAAUCUCCAGACUGCUUCAGAGUCGUUUCUUUCUUCGGAAUCGUAUCAUCAGUUUUUUUCAAACUUUUUAUACAAAUUUUUAUGACCGCUGGGUGGAUUACACGGAGAAAACGAGCCUUAAAAUUCUAGAGGAAAUUACUAGGAAAAUAUUAUCUCAGGGACAGUGUGUGUACGUACUGGAUUGCAGCAUUAAUUCAAAGCGCAUUAAUAAGAAUUGUUCUAUCCACCAUAGUAAAAAGACCAAUACCUUUUGUCCAAAAAGAGUCUUCUUCUCUACAAAGCAUAGAAAAAAUUAUUUUCAGUCACUUUAAAUGUUUAUAUUGUUAAGUAUGCUCGGGAGGAAACCCUGAAAAAAAACUAUGUACGCAAAAUGUCACGCGUAUUCGGUAUAUAUUCGUGUAUUUAUCAUAAAAUUUACCACGCUGACAUUAGAAAAUUUGCGAUUUCCAAUAAAUUUCGACUUAUCAGUAAGUGCUAGUCUGACACGAUGUGAAAAACUCGAAAACAAAACGAAAUAUAGUUCUCACCUGCCUCACCUUGACACGAAGCUGUUUGUAAUUCAAGGGACGAAAAAAACAGCAAAAUUCAAAAAAUACUAUGCUGUUUGUAAUCGAUGGCUAAAUGCUUUGAAAAUUAUUGAAAAAUAAUAUAUUCCUCGCCAUAAACAAAACGAAUCUCUGUUUUCUCUGUGUACUGUGGUUGGAGGAAAAUAAUGAUUAAAAUA